GACGAACGCUGGCGGCGGGCUUAACACAUGCAAGUCGAACGGAAAGGCCCUGCUUUUGUGGGGUGCUCGAGUGGCGAACGGGUGAGUAACACGUGAGUAACCUGCCCUUGACUUUGGGAUAACUUCAGGAAACUGGGGCUAAUACCGGAUAGGUGCUCCUGCUGCAUGGUGGGGGUUGGAAAGUUUCGGCGGUUGGGGAUGGACUCGCGGCUUAUCAGCUUGUUGGUGGGGUAGUGGCUUACCAAGGCUUUGACGGGUAGCCGGCCUGAGAGGGUGACCGGCCACAUUGCGACUGAGAUACGGCCGAGACUCCUACGGGAGGCAGCAGUGGGGAAUAUUGCACGAUGGGCGGAAGCCUGAUGCAGCAACGCCGCGUGCGGGAUGACGGCCUUCGGGUUGUAAACCGCUUUCGCCUGUGACGAAGCGUGAGUGACGGUAAUGGGUAAAGAAGCACCGGCUAACUACGUG
rnacentral:rRNA from 1 species